CUCGACUGACUCGGUGGUUCAAAAGCCUGGCACAUGCGGCUGACCUUUGACCGGGUGCCAGGCGGCUGCAACCUUCACAGGUGCAAGCUGUGCGGCAAGGUCGUGACGCACAUCAGGAACCACUACCACGUCCAC